CACGUAGGGGGCGAGCGUUGUUCGGAUUUAUUGGGCGUAAAGAGCUCGUAGGCGGCUCGGUAAGUGAGGUGUGAAAACUCCAGGCUCAACCUGGAGACGCCACCUCAUACUGCCGUGGCUAGAGUCCGGUAGGGGAGCAUGGAAUUCCUGGUGUAGCGGUGAAAUGCGCAGAUAUCAGGAGGAACACCAGUGGCGAAGGCGGCUGCUGGCGGCG
rnacentral:rRNA from 1 species